rnacentral:lncRNA from 1 species
GAAAGGAGACCAAAAUAGAGGUCCCUUUCUCGACCGAAAAUCGGCGACUUUCAUCGCCGGCAGCCGCGCACAAAUGCACGGGGAGGAAGGAGAAGAAAGAGGGGAAGAAGAGGGAAACUUACCUUGACCUCCGGUGACCUCGCCGGCGAGCAAUCACGGCGAGAAUCCGAACGAUAUCCGCGGCUUCGAUUGAGAAAAACGGAGAGAAAGAGAGAGGGAGGAGGCCGAUCUUCGGUCUCAAGGGGGAGGG